AUUGAACGCUGGCGGCAGGCUUAACACAUGCAAGUCGAGCGGAGCGAGGGUGCUUGCACCUUAGCUUAGCGGCGGACGGGUGAGUAAUGCUUAGGAAUUUGCCUAUUAGUGGGGGACAACAUUCCGAAAGGAAUGCUAAUACCGCAUACGCCCUACGGGGGAAAGCAGGGGAUCUUCGGACCUUGCGCUAAUAGAUGAGCCUAAGUCGGAUUAGCUAGUUGGUGGGGUAAAGGCCUACCAAGGCGACGAUCUGUAGCGGGUCUGAGAGGAUGAUCCGCCACACUGGGACUGAGACACGGCCCAGACUCCUACGGGAGGCAGCAGUGGGGAAUAUUGGACAAUGGGCGGAAGCCUGAUCCAGCCAUGCCGCGUGUGUGAAGAAGGCCUUUUGGUUGUAAAGCACUUUAAGCGAGGAGGAGGCUCUUAAGGUUAAUACCCUUGAUGAGUGGACGUUACUCGCAGAAUAAGCACCGGCUAACUCUGUGCCAGCAGCCGCAGUAACAC
rnacentral:rRNA from 1 species